ACGGGAGGCAGCAGUGGGGGAUAUUGCACAAUGGGGGAAACCCUGAUGCAGCGACGCCGCGUGAGUGAAGAAGUAUUUCGGUAUGUAAAGCUCUAUCAGCAGGAAAGAUAAUGACGGUACCUGACUAAGAAGCACCGGCUAAAUACGUGCCAGCAGCCGCGGUAAUACGUAGGGGGCAAGCGUUAUCCGGAUUUACUGGGUGUAAAGGGAGCGUAGACGGCUUUGUAAGCCUGAUGUGAAAGGCAGGGGCUCAACUCCUGGACUGCAUUGGAUACUACAGAGCUUGAGUGCCGGAGAGGUAAGCGGAAUUCCUAGUGUAGCGGUGAAAUGCGUAGAUAUUAGGAGGAACACCAGUGGCGAAGGCGGCUUACUGGACGGUAACUGACGUUGAGGCUCGAAAGCGUGGGGAGCAAACAGGAUUAGAUACCCUGGUA
rnacentral:rRNA from 1 species